UAUUCAAUAUUGAAAUUAAUUCCACUUGUAGUCGCAGUAUUUAGGGGCACUGACGCUUCGACCCUCCAAUGCAACGGAAAAAGGUAAGGCCUUUUUAGUCUUCUCUCUGUAGCUUUUCAGCAGGGCUCUCGACAUGAACUUUUCUUCACUCUCGCUUGAUUCACCAAUUCACAACCGCUCCUUCAAUCUCUCACAAAACCCUAAAAUCGUCAGAACUAAAUUACUUAACUUCAGACUCUCGUUUCAUUUCCUUAGUAAUUCACCUCAUCGAAAACGCUUCAGAAACAUUUCUUCUAAAGUUCAGCUGAGAGACGACAAUUCGGCUGUGCAUCCAUUGGUUGUCAGGUCUCUUGUGAGGACGAGAGUUUCAUCGAACGACAAGCAGUUCGGUUUGGUACCAGAGCAGAAUGGAAUACGGGCGCCGAAUUUUGCUGAGUUUAUUACUUCGGAGAGAGUCAAAGUGGUCGCGAUGCUUGCUUUGGCACUGGCGCUCUGUAAUGCCGAUCGAGUUGUCAUGUCGGUCGCGAUUAUACCAUUGUCGCUUGCUCACGGCUGGAGCCGAUCGUUUUCCGGUAUUGUUCAGUCAUCUUUCCUCUGGGGAUACCUGGUCUCACCAAUAGCCGGAGGGACUUUGGUGGAUUAUUAUGGUGGUAAGGUGGUCAUGGCAUGGGGUGUGGCAUUAUGGUCAUUAGCUACUUUUCUUACUCCUUGGGCAGCAGACACUUCUUUAUGGGCUCUGUUGGCCAUGCGAGCUGUUCUUGGGAUUGCAGAAGGUGUGGCUCUUCCUUCCAUGAACAACAUGGUGGCAAGAUGGUUUCCACAAACAGAACGAGCCAGAGCUGUUGGAAUUGCAAUGGGCGGAUUUACAUUUGGAAAUGCUAUAGGACUCAUGCUUUCCCCAAUUCUAAUGUCAAAAGCUGGUAUUUUUGGGCCAUUUGUAAUUUUUGGGUUAUCUGGAUUUCUGUGGGUUUUGGUUUGGUUGUCUGCAACAUCAAGUACUCCUGAUCAACAUCCCCAGAUAUCAAAAUAUGAACUGGAGUACAUACUGGACAGGAAGCAGAAGCCCCUAGUGAUGGAGAAUAAACCUAAGACAAAGAAAGUGAUUCCCCCUUUUGGCCGGUUGCUAUCUAAAAUGCCAACAUGGUCCCUUAUCAUUGCCAAUGCCAUGCAUAGCUGGGGCUUUUUUGUUAUCCUUACCUGGAUGCCAAUCUACUUUAACUCAGUGUAUCAUGUUGACCUGAGACAAGCAGCAUGGUUUAGUGCCGUUCCAUGGAGUGUUAUGGCAUUCAUGGGAUACAUUGGUGGUUUAUGGUCAGAUACAUUGAUACAUAAUGGCACAAGUAUGACUUUGACUCGCAAGAUUAUGCAGUCAGUUGGCUUUAUUGGUCCUGGGAUUGCUCUUAUUGGUUUAACUGCAGCCAGAAGUCCAUUUAUUGCGUCUUCUUGGCUUACUUUAGCUGUUGGGCUGAAAUCUUUCAGUCACUCUGGUUUUCUUGUGAAUCUUCAGGAAAUUGCUCCCCAGUACUCUGGUGUUUUACAUGGAAUAUCAAAUACUGCUGGAACAUUUGCAGCCAUUCUAGGAACUGUUGGAGCUGGGUUUUUUGUUGAACUGGUGGGUUCAUUCCAAGGAUUUUUGUUGCUUACAUCGCUCUUAUAUUUUCUCUCCGCCCUUUUCUACAUCAUCUUUUCUACUUCCGAGAGAGUCAGUUUCAAUUAAACUGCUCAAACACCCCAAUCUCAUUGGGUUGAACCUCUUAUCUCUUCCUUACUUGGGAAGAAUGUAUUGUAGGGUUUAGCCACUAAGAAGCUGCAGGGCCUUAUGGUAACUUUUUGCUUUGUCAGUUUGUUGAACAAGUUUAAACGCCACUGCCGAACACCAGAAAAUUGCAAAGACUCAGAUGCUGCAAUUAGAGUAGGACUGGAAAAUUGCACAGAAUGUUGAGCAGUCAAAUCUGAUGUAAAUAUAAUAUUUCUCUCCUUUUAAAAAAAUAAAAGAAAAUUGUAGUAUAUGAUUUUCACAUACCUCAUGAGGGUUUGGUUUUCUGGUGCGGUCGGGCAAGUAUGAUACUGGGUGCUUCAAUUGUGACUGUUCAAUUAAGUUUAACUUUUGGGUUGCCA